CCUACGGGAGGCAGCAGUGGGGAAUAUUGGGCAAUGGGCGCAAGCCUGACCCAGCAACGCCGCGUGAAGGAAGAAGGCUUUCGGGUUGUAAACUUCUUUUCUCAGGGACGAAGAAAGUGACGGUACCUGAGGAAUAAGCCACGGCUAAAUACGUGCCAGCAGCCGCGGUAAUACGUAGGUGGCAAGCUUUAUCCGGAUUUAUGGGGUGUAAAGGGCGUGUAGGCGGGAGCGCAAGUCAGAUGUGAAAACUCAGGGCUCAACCCUGAGCCUGCAUUUGAAACGGUGUUUCUUGAGUGCUGGGGAGGCAAUCGGAAUUCCGUGUGUAGCGGUGAAAUGCGUAGAUAUACGGAGGAACACCAGUGGCGAAGGCGGAUUGCUGGACAGUAACUGACGCUGAGGCGCGAAAGCGUGGGGAGCAAACAGGAUUAGAUACCCGGGUAGUC
rnacentral:rRNA from 1 species